AACGAACGCUGGCGGCAUGCCUAACACAUGCAAGUCGAACGAGACCUUCGGGUCUAGUGGCGCACGGGUGCGUAACGCGUGGGAACCUGCCCUUAGGUUCGGAAUAACUCCCCGAAAGGGGUGCUAAUACCGGAUAAUGUCUUCGGACCAAAGAUUUAUCGCCUUUGGAUGGGCCCGCGUUGGAUUAGCUAGUUGGUAGGGUAAAAGCCUACCAAGGCGACGAUCCAUAGCUGGUCUGAGAGGAUGAUCAGCCACACUGGGACUGAGACACGGCCCAGACUCCUACGGGAGGCAGCAGUGGGGAAUAUUGGACAAUGGGCGAAAGCCUGAUCCAGCAAUGCCGCGUGAGUGAUGAAGGCCGUAGGGUUGUAAAGCGCUUUUACCCGGGAUGAUAAUGACAGUACCGGGAGAAUAAGCUCCGGCUAACUCCGUG
rnacentral:rRNA from 1 species